rnacentral:rRNA from 1 species
CUUAAAUUGAAGAGUUUGAUCAUGGCUCAGAUUGAACGCUGGCGGCAGGCCUAACACAUGCAAGUCGAGCGGCAGCGGGAAGAAGCUUGCUUCUUUGCCGGCGAGCGGCGGACGGGUGAGGUAAGU